rnacentral:rRNA from 1 species
GAUGAACGCUGGCGGCGUGCCUAAUACAUGCAAGUCGAGCGAACAGACGAGGAGCUUGCUCCUCUGACGUUAGCGGCGGACGGGUGAGUAACACGUGGAUAACCUACCUAUAAGACUGGGAUAACUUCGGGAAACCGGAGCUAAUACCGGAUAAUAUAUUGAACCGCAUGGUUCAAUAGUGAAAGACGGUUUUGCUGUCACUUAUAGAUGGAUCCGCGCCGCAUUAGCUAGUUGGUAAGGUAACGGCUUACCAAGGCAACGAUGCGUAGCCGACCUGAGAGGGGGAUCGGCCACACUGGAACUGAGACACGGUCCAGACUCCUAAGGGAGGCAGCAGUAGGGAAUCUUCCGCAAUGGGCGAAAGCUUGACGGAGCAACGCCGCGUGAGUGAUGAAGGUCUUCGGAUCGUAAAACUCUGUUAUUAGGGAAGAACAAAUGUGUAAGUAACUAUGCACGUCUUGACGGUACCUAAUCAGAAAGCCACGGCUAACUACGUG